rnacentral:rRNA from 1 species
UCCGUAGGUGAACCUGCGGAAGGAUCAUUACUGAGUGCGGGCUGCCUCCGGGCGCCCAACCUCCCACCCGUGAAUACCUAACACUGUUGCUUCGGCGGGGAACCCCCUCGGGGGCGAGCCGCCGGGGACUACUGAACUUCAUGCCUGAGAGUGAUGCAGUCUGAGUCUGAAUAUAAAAUCAGUCAAAACUUUCAACAAUGGAUCUCUUGGUUCCGGCAUCGAUGAAGAACGCAGCGAACUGCGAUAAGUAAUGUGAAUUGCAGAAUUCAGUGAAUCAUCGAGUCUUUGAACGCACAUUGCGCCCCCUGGCAUUCCGGGGGGCAUGCCUGUCCGAGCGUCAUUGCUGCCCUUCAAGCCCGGCUUGUGUGUUGGGUCGUCGUCCCCCCCGGGGGACGGGCCCGAAAGGCAGCGGCGGCACCGCGCCCGGUCCUCGAGCGUAUGGGGCUUUGUCACCCGCUCGAUUAGGGCCGGCCGGGCGCCAGCCGGCGUCUCCAACCUUCUAUUUUACCAGGUUGACCUCGGAUCAGGUAGGGAUACCCGCUGAACUUAAGCAUAUCAAUAAGCGGAGGA